AGCUGACGCUCUCAAACACACUUUCAACUGUUUCCCUCCCCCAAAACUCCUAACCUUUUCAUGGCGAAUACAAAUUCGUUUUAUAGUUUCCAAAUUGACGGAGAAGGCUAAAAAACAAGUUUCCUCAAGAGAUAUUUCACAUGUAAAUAUUGCAAGGUACUUGUUUGUCAGGUAUGUUGUCCUGAAACCGAAGUUGUUUUUACAUGCCAUACUGACUUUACAUAUUGGACUUAUGAUGGAUCAAGAUUAAUGGUGAAAGUUGAGGUGGUUAUGUCGAGUUUGAGGUAUUCAUGGAGCAUCAUGUCUUGUGAAGUUAUUUAGAGAGAUAAAUUUAUAAUAAUUUGGAAGAUCAUUGCAUUGACUUCGUCCAAUGCAAAUUUAUGUCAUUAAGGUACAGUGCCUGAACAUUCUGACUUGUCUAUUUUCUUCCGAGAUGUUAUCUGGUGCGAGAGAGGUGCAAAUAGAAAUCUCAAACCUUUAGAAAGCGGAAAGAGGGCAGGUGGUGAGUGCCAUGCGGAAGGUUCAAUAAAAUUGCUUCUAGUCUUCAAAUGUUUAUAAGGUUUGGGCUUACAAUAAAUAUUAAAUGAAAGAUGAAUUUGUGCCACAUAUACAGAAGCAUUUCAUCAAAUCCCUUCAAGUUGUUCUGAAAUAUAUCAGCCAACAAGAUAAAGUAACAAAGCACAAUAACAUCUUAAAAAUAUAAUUCCAAUGCAAUAGGCGUUUGUCAGCAUAUCAAAUCCUAUACACUGUAGCAAUUGAGCUUUAAAAUUCUAGCAUUAGUUAGUAAGCACUUUUUACAACAAAAUAAAAAGAGAGUUUGUGCAACAUAUCUGGAAAUACAGUAGUUUGCAAAGUCUCUUAAAAUGGAGUCUCAUU